GGUAACACGUAUCCAACCUGCCCUUUACUCGGGGAUAGCCUUUCGAAAGAAAGAUUAAUACCCGAUAGUAUAAUGAUUCCGCAUGGUUUCAUUAUUAAAGGAUUCCGGUAAAGGAUGGGGAUGCGUUCCAUUAGGUUGUUGGUGAGGUAACGGCUCACCAAGCCUUCGAUGGAUAGGGGUUCUGAGAGGAAGGUCCCCCACAUUGGAACUGAGACACGGUCCAA
rnacentral:rRNA from 1 species